ensembl:lncRNA
AAAAAAAGGAACAAAAAAAUAAAUAAAAGGACUGCAGAAGCAAAAGAAAAGGGGGGAAAAAGGGGGUGAGGAAAGGGAGAGAGCAUACUUACUCCGUGCAAAGGCGACGAAACUGAGCCUCUUUUUUUUUUGCCGCUGGACAGAGCGAGGCGGCCCGGCACAUGCACACCGCACGCGCACACACACACACACACGCACACACUCACUCGCACACACGCACAGACACACGCGCGCGCACACACACGCGCGCACGCACGCGCGGCCGCUGAAUAUUGACGCCGGGAUCCGCGUAAAGGUGAAGCCGGGCAGUGCCGAUAGUACAUACACAGCAGCCCCUGACAGCGCCUUGUCACUUGCGCGGCUCAGCGUCGCUUCGAGCGCUGUCGAGGAAACGCAGUCACCCAAUGAGGAGCGAAGGGAAACUGAGGCACGGGCUGUCCCGGGGGCACGCAGCCCCCCCGGCCCCACCUCGCUCUGCAGGUGCCGUCCUCCCGCCCCGCACCCCGUUCACGUCCCAGCACGGCGGUUCGUAGUGUAACCCCGCCGCUGCCUGAAUGGUGAGCGCUCGAGAUUCUACCUCCUCCCGCCCCCAGUUGGUUCACAGUGAUAAAGUUUGGAUCCAAAGGCGCGCUCAGGUGUGGGGGCUCUGCUCCUGCCCUCGCUUUGCUGCUUGGUCACAAAGUUCAGCCGUGGGGCUGUGCUCAGCUGCGAGCUUCGGCCCCUCAGAAAUAAAUCCUUCUCCAAAUUCUGGUGCCUGUGAUGAGGAAAUGAGCGCUGCGAGCUGACAGCUCUCUGCAUUCGCAGCUCUGUCUUCGAGGGGGAAAAAAAAGAAAAGCAGAUGUGGGAAACUUAGGAAAACUUUUGAAACGUGCCCUUGGCCGUGGGUGAUCCCCCUGUCCCUUUGGAGGAUGGCAACAGGAUUGGAAGUGACAAGGGCUCACUGCUGGAAGUGUCUUUGCUUUGAUCACUCUCCUCGCUGUGUCUGCUCACUCCGAGUGAGGGGAAGGGCUGCACUGCCGGUUUUCUUUUCUUUUUCUUUGUUUUUAAAGGGGGAUGUGAGGGGGGAUAUAUUUUUAAAGGUGGGAUAUAUCCGAGUACUUCAUGUGUAAAGAACGGUCCCUGUCACAAGGGCCUGAUUCUGCUCUUAUUGACGCCGCCGCGAAUUCAUCCAGGGAUCAUCAGCAGCGCGUGUGCGGGGCAGAGGAGCGCUGGGUGCGGGUGUGCGUUGCUGCGGGGUCUGAGCCUUCCUCGGCCCCUCCUCGCAGACAAACCCUUGGAGGAGGAUGCACCAGAGGUGCCACAGCAGAGUGCACUUUAAUUCAAGAAG